GUCUCGGUAGUCUAAGGCUCAGGACGCUCGCACGGAAUGCAAGAGAUCCGGGUUCGACUCCCGGCCGAGGCA
rnacentral:tRNA from 1 species